rnacentral:lncRNA from 1 species
ACUAGGUUAACCUUAGACUCCUUUGUCAGUUUGGGCUCCUCAGCCCAAGCAUGACUUUUUGCACCUUCUUUUCUUUUUCUUUCUUAAAAGAUUGUUAUCCCACUAAAGAUACAUCUUCAGAGGUGCAAAAGAACUCCUUCAAUAUUUGAAAAAUUUUCUCCCACUUGAGUAUCAUCGAAUUUAUAACUAAAUUAUGUUUU